UACGUAGGGGGCAAGCGUUGUCCGGAAUUACUGGGCGUAAAGCGCGCGUAGGCGGACCUGCAAGUCGGGGGUGAAAGCCCGAGGCUCAACCUCGGAACUGCCUUCGAUACUGCGGGUCUCGAGUCCGGGAGAGGUGAGUGGAAUUCCUAGUGUAGAGGUGAAAUUCGUAGAUAUUCGCAAGAACACCAGUGGCGAAGGCGGCUCAUCGUGCCCGGUACUGACGCUGAGGUGCGAAAGCGUGGGGAGCAAACAGG
rnacentral:rRNA from 1 species